rnacentral:lncRNA from 1 species
AGACAUUCACAGACUCAUAUUGACUCUGUAAACCAAAUCGGCAACUCUGCAUCCAUAUGAACGACGAAAGACGGUUGUUUCCUAGCACAACGUGCCAAGCUAUCCGCCCUUAGGUUCUCCGUUCAGGGUACAUGGACGACGUCUGAGUUGAUGAAGCUUCUUCGUAAAAGCUUGAUAUCUUCCAGGUAGCUUUCAAAUGCUGGCCAUUCUUCUGGUUCCGAAACCAUCUU